rnacentral:rRNA from 1 species
CCUACGGGAGGCAGCAGUGGGGAAUUUUGGACAAUGGGCGCAAGCCUGAUCCAGCAAUGCCGCGUGAGUGAAGAAGGCCUUCGGGUUGUAAAGCUCUUUUGUCAGGGAAGAAACGGUUGUUCCUAAUACGGAUGGCUAAUGACGGUACCUGAAGAAUAAGCACCGGCUAACUACGUGCCAGCAGCCGCGGUAAUACGUAGGGUGCAAGCGUUAAUCGGAAUUACUGGGCGUAAAGCGUGCGCAGGCGGUUAUAUAAGUCAGAUGUGAAAUCCCCGGGCUCAACCUGGGAACUGCAUUUGAGACUGUAUGGCUAGAGUGUGUCAGAGGGGGGUAGAAUUCCACGUGUAGCAGUGAAAUGCGUAGAUAUGUGGAGGAAUACCGAUGGCGAAGGCAGCCCCCUGGGAUAACACUGACGCUCAUGCACGAAAGCGUGGGGAGCAAACAGGAUUAGAUACCCUGGUAGUCCACGCCCUAAACGAUGUCUACUAGUUGUCGGGACUUAAUUGUCUUGGUAACGCAGCUAACGCGUGAAGUAGACCGCCUGGGGGGUACGUCGCAAGAUUAAACUCAAAGGAAUUGACGG